rnacentral:rRNA from 1 species
CGCCGCGUGCGGGAUGAAGGCCUUCGGGUUGUAAACCGCUUUCACCAGGGACGAAGCGAGAGUGACGGUACCUGGGGAAGAAGCGCCGGCUAACUACGUGC